rnacentral:rRNA from 1 species
ACCCGCUGAACUUAAGCAUAUCAAUAAGCGGAGGAAAAGAAACCAACAGGGAUUGCCCUAGUAACGGCGAGUGAAGCGGCAACAGCUCAGAUUUGAAAUCUGGCGUCUUUGGCGUCCGAGUUGUAAUUUGCAGAGGGCGCUUUGGCAUUGGCAGCGGUCCAAGUUCCUUGGAACAGGACGUCACAGAGGGUGAGAAUCCCGUACGUGGUCGCUAGCCUUUACCGUGUAAAGCCCCUUCGACGAGUCGAGUUGUUUGGGAAUGCAGCUCUAAAUGGGAGGUAAAUUUCUUCUAAAGCUAAAUACUGGCCAGAGACCGAUAGCGCACAAGUAGAGUGAUCGAAAGAUGAAAAGCACUUUGGAAAGAGAGUUAAAAAGCACGUGAAAUUGUUGAAAGGGAAGCGCUUGCAGCCAGACUUGCCUGUAGUUGCUCAUCCGGGUUUUUACCCGGUGCACUCUUCUAUAGGCAGGCCAGCAUCAGUUUGGGCGGUUGGAUAAAGGUCUCUGUCAUGUACCUCUCUUCGGGGAGAACUUAUAGGGGAGACGACAUGCAACCAGCCCGGACUGAGGUCCGCGCAUCUGCUAGGAUGCUGGCGUAAUGGCUGU